AUCGAACGCUGGCGGCAGGCCUAACACAUGCAAGUCGAGCGGUAACAGGAAAUAGCUUGCUAUUUUGCUGACGAGCGGCGGACGGGUGAGUAACGCGUAGGAAUUUGCCCAGUAGUGGGGGAUAGCCCGGAGAAAUUCGGAUUAAUACCGCAUACGCCCUAAGGGGGAAAGCAGGGGAUCUUCGGACCUUGCGCUAUUGGAUAAGCCUGCGUGAGAUUAGCUAGUUGGUGAGGUAAGGGCUCACCAAGGCGACGAUCUCUAGCUGGUCUGAGAGGAUGAUCAGCCACACUGGAACUGAGACACGGUCCAGACUCCUACGGGAGGCAGCAGUGGGGAAUAUUGCACAAUGGGCGAAAGCCUGAUGCAGCCAUGCCGCGUGUGUGAAGAAGGCUCUAGGGUUGUAAAGCACUUUCAGUAGGGAGGAAAAGUCGAUAGUUAAUACCUAUCGGCCGUGACGUUACCUACAGAAGAAGCACCGGCUAACUCCGU
rnacentral:rRNA from 1 species